UACGAAGGGAGCUAGCGUUGUUCGGAAUCACUGGGCGUAAAGCGCGUGUAGGCGGCCCGGUAAGUCCGCUGUGAAAGUCCAGGGCUCAACCCUGGGAUGCCGGUGGAUACUGUCGGACUAGAGUACGGAAGAGGCGAGUGGAAUUCCCGGUGUAGCGGUGAAAUGCGCAGAUAUCGGGAGGAACACCAAUUGCGAAGGCAGCUCGCUGGGACGUCACUGACGCUGAGACGCGAAAGCGUGGGGAGCAAACAGG
rnacentral:rRNA from 1 species